CCAAAACCAAAAAUUUAGAAUAUGACCUUGACCUUUGACCUUGACCUCAAUUUCAAGGUCACAAACUGAGGAUCUCAAAUCAAAAGACCCUAGGUCUCUAAUUUGUAUGGUAAAUAAGUUUUAUCACUUUACGCAUAAUUUUAGAUAUGAUAGGGGCUAAAACUCAUAUUUAUUGUCUACGCACCCUUUCAACCAAAAUAAUUAUGUUACGACAUGUUGCAACUAACAAUUUAGUAAAAAUAAUUUGUCGAUAUCUUAUAAGGUUAAUGAAAAUGAGUGAAAAUAAGCCAAAAUCAAAAAUUUAGAAUAUGACCUUGACCUUUGACCUUGACCUCAAUUUCAAGGUCACAAACUGAGGAUCUCAAAUCAAAAGACCCUAGGUCUCUAAUAUGUAUGGUAAAUAAGUUAUAUCACUUAACGCAUAAUUUUAGAUAUGAUAGGUCUAAAACUCCCAUUUAUUGUCUACGCACCCUUUCAACCAAAAUUAUUAUGUUACGACAUGUCGCAAC
rnacentral:lncRNA from 1 species